UACGAAGGGUGCAAGCGUUACUCGGAAUUACUGGGCGUAAAGCGCACGUAGGCGGUCUGUUAAGUCGGAUGUGAAAGCCCAGGGCUCAACCCUGGAAGUGCAUACGAAACUGGCAGGCUUGAAUAUGGAAGAGGGUCGCGGAAUUCCCGGUGUAGAGGUGAAAUUCGUAGAUAUCGGGAGGAACACCAGUGGCGAAGGCGGCGACCUGGGCCAAUAUUGACGCUGAGGUGCGAAAGCGUGGGGAGCAAACAGG
rnacentral:rRNA from 1 species